rnacentral:rRNA from 1 species
AUGGCUCAAGACAAUACUAAAUUGUGUGACUUUUCCAACACCAAUAAUAAUGAUUUUAUUAGUACUCCGAUUGCUCCCGAUGCUAAUGCGGAAUCUUGUGAAAUAAAUAUCGCUUUGCUGAAUCUUGUCAUGAAAGAUCAAUUUUCCGGCCUUCCCAAUGAAGAUGCCGCAUCACAUCUUAAUAAUUUUGUUGAUUUGUGUGAUAUGCAAAAGAAAAAAGAUGUGGAUAAUGAUAUUGUUAAAUUGAAGCUAUUUCCGUUCUUGCUUCGAGAUCGUGCUAAAACUUGGUUUUCAUCUUUGCCUAAA